UGAAGCCGCACCGCCCGCCCGCCCGCCGCCAGCGGGGCUUUAUAAGCGGGGAAAUGGCCCAAACGCCGCAGUCGGAGCAUCUCUGGGCGCGGUGGUGCGGGCUCUGUUUGGGCACGGAGCGGUAGCGAUGCCGGACCGAUUUUCCCCCCUCUACUCGCAUCUUCCCCCCCCCCCCCCCCCGAGCAUCUCGGGAUCGUCCCCUCCGGGAGAUGUGAGCGCGGAUGAUGGUGGUGGGGUGAUGCGGCGGCUGGGAGGCGGCCCGCUGAGGUUUUGGUACCUGCCGUCGCUGAUGGGCAGAUGGAUGUGAUGGCUGUUGGAGUGUCCUUUGUACCUGGAAGAGAGGAGGCACAAUCAGCCUGACCGUGUGUGGGUUUGGGACUUUUUCCCACUUGGCCAAGCAAGGAGGAUUUAUCUUGAGACUUCUUCUGUCUGCUGGGAUAUCGCACCUGGAGCCCUCAUGGACUGCCGUGGGUUUUGGAUGCACCCUUCUGCCUGGAGCUGGAAAUGUGUGCUGCUGCCAGGUGGCCACAGACACCUGCUCCUCUAAACCUGCUGGAUUAUUUCUUUUGGCAUCACUCAGCCAGCGUGGCAGCUUUUCCUCAGCUCGUGCAACUGCCUUUGGUGUUUGAGAUCACCUGACUUGCAGAUGUAGAAAGCUGCAGUUGCAGCCCAGCCUGCAGACACCUCUCCUUUUUGGGCUACUAUUUCUCAGCAUUGCAGCACUUUGGGAGAAGACCCCGUCCAUACACAUGUGUGGGAAUGUCCUGCUGGUCUCAGGGCCAGCAGUGGAGGCUCGAGGUGCACCUGAGAGGAGAGCCGAUGCACUGCAGCAGGAGCAGCCACCAGGACCUCACCAUGGAUGGGAGGGAGGAAGCACAGAGGCAGCACAGUGCCCGGCACCCGCAGGGAUUGGGAUGCACGUAGGGUCAUGCUGUGCUCCUUCCCCCAGCACUGAUGUGGGAACGGCCCCAGUGCAGCCGCCCACCAUUGCCACUGUGAUCCGGGGUCCUGAGCUGACCUUGCUCUCCUGCACCCACGCAGGGCAGGGAUGGCCGAAUUACUGCUCCCUGCUGCACUCUGCACAUCCUCCUCCUGGCCGGGUGGCCUCAGGAUCUGUGGGGCUGGAUGGCUGCGUGCUCUCGGGUCAAACAGUAGCUCCAUUUUUUCCCUUGUGAAGCACCAAGAGCUUGCCCAGUUCCAAGGAAGUGGCUGUGGAAUUUUAUUUUAUUUUUUCUCUCCUCCGUUCUUCUUUCUGAAUCUUUUGGGGAGUUUUGGGCUCUUAUUGAGGAUGCCCAGACCUGCACUGGGUGCAGCCCAAUGCAGAGGGGCAAAUGCCUCUGGAGAAGCAAUGGGAGCAGCACACCAAGAGCUGGCAACUGCAGUGCCUUGGGACUGAGACUGUCUGGGAGCUGUGUUCCUUCACAUUGCAUAGCUGCAUCCUCCCCAACACAUCCCAUAAGGGUGAGGUGGGAUUCUGGGGGGCACAAAGCCAAACCGCAGCGAGGGGGACGUCAAGAAGGGGAAAAAUGUCACCCUCAGAAACAAUUAAACUGCUUAAUAAAAUCCGUUGCCUCUCGGAGUGCUCGCUGUUCUUUUCCGUUUGCCUUGGCUCAGCCACACUUACAUCAUGGCCCUAUCGCGGGGCUGCCGAGUGGACGGGUUUGAUUGCACAGGAAACCGGCGCUUUGGCAAACUUUUCUGCCCCGGUAAAGCCAGGCCAAGAGCUUAAUGCCUUUGCUUUGCAGAAAAAUUCUUCCCUGUCCUUUCCCUCUUUCCUUUCUGCAACCCCUUAACCAUCACCCGCCAACUAGGCAGCCUCCCCUCGCAUGCCUCCUGCUCCAAGAGCGCCUGAGAUGCAGAUUAAAUCCCCUUAAAUCGUGUUGUUUCUUGUCCAUGGACUGUGUGUUCCCUCCCACCCUGUAGAGCCGAAGCACUGGAAGGUGCUGUGUAGAAACAUAACAUUAAAAAAAAAAAGGAUGUUUAUGUCAUGGAAAUGUCCUUUGAUUUUUUCUUUUUUAAGAGUUAUGUCUUCUAUUACAAAAAAAAAAGAAAAAAAAAAGGAUGUCCUUACAUCUAAAAAGCACUGUAGCCUUAGGCACGUGUAUGAAUGUGUUGGGUGUUCAGCUGUGGUGGAGUGACUUUUGGUCUCGAUAUUGAGCUGGAACAGCAGAACCUUGGUCAGGAGCAUGGAGUUCUGGGCCCUUUCCUUUGAAAAUAUUACUUGAGUGUUUUAAGAACCAUGUUUUGUGCUUGGGAAAGCUAUGGCAGAACAGCAAAGCCCAGAAAUGUGUGGACAUUGCUUGGUGUUUGGUUUGGUAAUGAUGGGUAAUGGUGAUGUCAAAUUCGUUGUCAUUGGUGAAGUGUCCUUGGAGGCAGAAGCCAAGGUGAUGCUCAGCCCUUUGCCUCUGCUCAUGUUUGAGGUGGGACUGAUGCUCUUUUCUCCUCCUGGUGGAGCGGAGCCAUGCCUCAUGGAGCACUGAGCAGGUGAUCAGGUAAAUCACAGCAUUCCCAUCCA